AAAUCUCAACCUUCUCGGUUUUCUUCUGGACGCCGAAGGAGGCUUGGACUUUGGAGGCCUUUGCUGGCAUCUCUCUCUUUUGAGAGCCAGCUCCUCUUAAAUGAAUUAGCGGGGUCCUCUUUGCCGAUCCUCGACAUGUGAUAAGAUGUUUCCAUGACUUGGUUUCUGGCUCUGUUGCCUUUGGGACCCGCUUCUAACCGUCUCGACGAGACAACGUUUGGGCGUGUCUCCCUUCUCGGGAAACACUCUCAACCCCACGAACCCUU
rnacentral:rRNA from 1 species